CGAGGCUAGUCUGUCUGAACUGCAAUUCAAAGGAUAAACCUGGGAUCUGGGAUCAAAACAGGUGUCAGGAUUUUCGGGGUUCCUGGCUCUCCGGCACAGCUGCUGACAAUCUGCCAAUCAAGCCUUGGCUUAAAUACUCUGUACUCCUGACUGUCAGCGCCAGAUUGUUCUCACCCUUGUGUGCCUGGGAUUUCCGUUUGCCACGCCAAGGCCUCCAUAACUGGACCUCAGUUCAACCACGCUAUCUUUGACCCCGCAGACCAGCUCUGGAUAAUUCAUCAGCACUGUUCCACUCACCGUCUAUGUUAUCAUUAAAACCCU